GUGGACAAUUUUUGUCACUAAUAUACAUCGAGAAUUUCUGAUAAAUAGAUGGCCAAAAAUGUUUCGGAUUUUAGUUUACAAUAAAACGAUUGGGGUCCAGUUGCCUAAGGUGUGAUGACAGAACUAUUGGUCGGUUAUCAUGGUCCUCGAUAAGAUCGAAUGGUCCAAGCACAGCGAUGACCGCAAAAGCGAGGGAACAAUAAGAUUUUAUUCCAAUCUUUAUGCGAUGCAAAAUGCGCUCCACCAUGUAGUGGGAGGCUCCUAUGUACAAAAUUCGCAAUGCAGAGCGAGUUAGCUGGAGAGCCAUUUUUGUGUGCUUGAGGGGCCUGUCUAUAGUUUCUUCUUGUGUGGUUCCUUCUUGGCUUCCGUGUCCUUCAAUUUCCUUCUUUGUCUCUCCUUCGUCUUCGAAGUAGAAGAAAAUUUUGUGCACGAGUAUUUCAGAAAUACAAUAACUACAUAUGCCCCGAAAAUGAUUAAUAGUUAACUGGGUUUGACAUUAAAUUCCAGAGCUUCUUUUCAAUAUUUGAACUUUUAAGAUACGUAAUUCAUUUUGGGAAUAGCUGGUUUCCAAACUUUUUUUUUAAAUACUCUACAAAAUUGUACAGACUUUCAUUUGGAUUACAGGUCUUGAGGCAGUUGGAUUCUGAGGGACAAUGACAGUUAGUGUUCUGGUUUGAGAUGGAGUGUAGAAUAGCAGCGUUCAACUAAAGUAGAGCUUUCGUUGACUGCUGUCAUUAUACUCAAAGAUGGAGCUCUGACUUGAACCUGUCAGUGUGGCCCAGUGUUCAACUGCCUGCAGGACCUGUGAUCUUUACAUAUAUAACAAUGGUUGACAAAAUGUUCUUCUGAUUUUUUUCUGCCAUCAAACCAAACUCUUCCUAACAAGAUUUUUUGAUUAAUUCUGUUUUUCAUCUUGAAAAAUUCAAGACAAAAAAACUGUAUUUUUUUAAUGUUUAUUUUUCGUUUUCCCAUAUGACUUGGGUAUACUACACCUUGUGUUGCAGCACUUUGAAGUUCUGAAAAGCUUAUGAAUGCAGCUAUCGAUUGGUUUCUAAAAACUGUAUAGCUGAUGCUUACCGUCUUUGAAAUAUGAAGAUUUCAAAUGGAGACAGCAGGCUUCAUCUAUAAAGUUUUUAAAGCCCAUUGAUAGCUGCGUUUCUUGGCUUUUCAGAACUACAAGGCGCUUCAAAACAAGGUGUAUUACUCUCAAGUAAUAUGGGAAAAUGCAAGCUUAUCUCUGAUAAAUUCAAUUGGUUUUCAAUUCUUCAAAAGAGUAACUUUAACUUUAAAUGGAAUGGCAUUUUAUUUCCUCAACGAUUGUAUUGUAUCAGCUGUGGGAAUAUGUUAGCAUAAAGUCUUAGGAGCAUUUACAGUUGGUGUUGGAGUAAAAGAUGGAGAGAAAAAUCUCAGCACGCACCCAAAGACAAUGCUUUGGUUUUCAGUUGGAGUUUUACUCUCUACAGCUAACAGCAACACUGACUGUCAGUGCUCUACUGCUUCUAUGCGUUUCCAAGACCGGUACUCCAUCCCCAUUUAUGGGUAGUCAUUCUACUCGAUGGCUGUAACCUUAACAAUAUGAGUAUUGGUGUUGGCUCAAGUAAUGGAAACUCUUGGGGUGGAGUCGAUGGUAUUUGAACAGUAAGUGUUGGCGUCGGAGUUGGAGAGAAGAAUCGCACUGAGUAAUUAAAACGAAAACGUUUUCCAUUGCUUGGGGCCAUUUUACUCUCCACCUUUGACUGCACCGCUAACUGUUCAUCUACCAUAAACUCCCACUUCCUUCUCUGGACUUGAGUCCUUCAUGCAUACAAGCGCACUCCUAUAUUGAGUUGGUAGCACAGGCCUUGGGGCAGUCAAGAUUCUAGGUACCACCGAUAGAUAGUGUUUGAGUUUGAGGUGGAGAGAGGAGUUUCACCAUGCAACAGAAGCGCGUGCACGCUUUGGUUGCUUGAUGAAGCUCAUCUAUCCAUCUUUGACUUGAACACUAGCUAUCCGUGUUGCUCAGAAUCUUGACUCCUCUAAGGACUUAUGUAUGCUUCCAAUCAAUGUCAGACGUUUUGGUUCAUUUGUAUUGGUUCGGUCAUAAGUCGAUGCCUAUAUUUUCAUAAUUGACUACGAGUAUUUAUCAGACUCUAUAGUCCUUAGUCCAACCAAUACCACCCCACCACCAUUUUCGAAUCCGCUGGAUAAGGUUCAAGAGGGCACCAAAGAGACCACAGACAGACCUCUCUGCGCAAGGGCUCGUUGCUCGGGCGCUCAGCUGCCACGAAAAAAUGCCAAGGAGAAGGGCGUAAUGCAGCAAAACUCGUCAAAGUCAAAUUGAAUAAACCAGUAUACAAACUCCUCUAUUCUGUUCGAUUCUAUUCUUUACUUCAUAUAUUUUAUUUUUGAUAAUAAAAGUGUCCAAAAUUAAGUCUCCGCACUGUUGGCUACAACGUUUUUCUUAAGAUUUAUUUAAAUAUAUAAAAUAGAGCUUACAAAAGAUGUAAUAUCUAAGGUAUAUAUUAAGUUUAGAAAUAAUGAAAUGAUCCUGCAAAUAGCCACAGCAAAUAUGCAGAGAGCGAGAGAGGGAGAGAGAGAGAGAGACAGAGAGAGAGUAAGUAAUAAGUUAUUUACGGGCAGUACGGAUACCAUUCUGGAUAAUAUCUAUACAGAGAAAUGCCCAAAGCACUCAAAUCUUUAAGCAGAAAAGUCAUCACACAGCUACAGAAGUAGUGGUGCUGCAUGAGAAGAUGGGUUGAUGUCUGUGGUGCAACUCGCUUGGGAAUAGAGAACAACAGAAUGGUAUGCCAAAAGGAUGCACUUGCGAUGUAACUUAUAUUGCUCUCUUUGACAGUUCUCUUCGCUACCGAUGAUAUUUAGCUCACCAAUCACGGCUCUGAAUACUAUUAAAUGCUUCUAUUGGAUCGACCAUGCCCACUGUAACAGAUAAAGCUCAAUUACAUUUAUGCUGUAAAGUUUAUGUUAUAUGCAGAAGAACCAUAUAUUUAUGUAUAUAUUACAUUACUAUGUAGAGUAUACCGGUUUACCAGUUCCUUAUUGGGGGCUGAUCGAUCCUUUUGAAAGUCCUUUUCGACCAACAUUCAUUGAUCAGCCCCAUAGACCUAUAACUUAUAUAGCUAUAAACUUAAUGUGAAAAUUUGAUUGUGAAUGAAUACCAUAGGGUAAUGGUGAAAAGAAAAAACUAUAUUUACCUACAAGUAUAUUAAAUGUUUUAUGUGGAAACUG